rnacentral:rRNA from 1 species
AGAGUUUGAUCAUGGCUCAGGAUGAACGCUAGCGACAGGCCUAACACAUGCAAGUCGAGGGGCAGCACAUGAGUAGCAAUACGAUGGUGGCGACCGGCACACGGGUGAGUAACACGUAUGCAACCUGCCUGUAAGAGGGGAAUAACCCGGAGAAAUUCGGACUAAUACCGCAUAAUACCACGAGACUGCAUGGUUUUGUGGUUAAACAUUUAUGGCUUACAGAUGGGCAUGCGUAUGAUUAGAUAGUUGGUAGGGUAACGGCCUACCAAGUCUACGAUCAUUAGGGGUUCUGAGAGGAAGGUCCCCCACACUGGUACUGAGACACGGACCAGACUCCUACGGGAAGCAGCAGUGAGGAAUAUUGGUCAAUGGGCGAGAGCCUGAACCAGCCAAGUCGCGUGAAGGAAGAAGGUUCUAUGGAUUGUAAACUUCUUUUGCAGGGGAAUAAAGGACGGUACGUGUACUGUUUUGUAUGUACCUUGCGAAUAAGGAUCGGCUAACUCCGUG